GACCAACCUCCAGCUCCAGGUGCUGCCACCACCCCCAGGUGGCACCAACCUCCAGCUCCAGGUGUUGGCAGCACCACCUGAGGUCACCAACCUCCAGCUCCAGGUGUUGGCAGCACCACCUGAGGUCACCAAUGUCCAGCUCCAGGUGUUGCCACCUCCACCUGAGGCCAUCAACCUCCAGCUCCAGGUGUUGCCACCUCCACCUGAGGUCACCAACCUCCAGCUCCAGGUGUUGGCAGCACCACCUGAGGUCACCAGUGUCCAGCUCCAGGUGCUGCCACCUCCACCUGAGGUCACCAGUGUCCAGCUCCAGGCCCUGCCGCUGACCUCAGGUGUCGCCAACGUCCAGCUCCAGGUGCUGCCACCACCUUCAGCUGGCGCAGGUGUCCAGCUCCAGGCCACCGAGGUGACCAAUGUCCAGCUGGGGACCUCAGAGCUGCCCAGUGUCCACCUGGAACCCACCCAGAUGACCAAUGUCCACCUGGAGACCUCAGAACUGCCCAGCAUCCACCUGGAACCCACCCAGAUGACCAAUGUCCACCUGGAACCCACCCAGAUGACCAAUGUCCACUUGGAGCCCACUGAGGUGACUGACGUCCAGCUGGAAACCUCAGAUGUCACUGAUGUCCACCUGGAGACCUCAGAGCUGCCCAGCGUCCACCUGGAACCCACCCAGAUGACCGACGUCCACCUGGAGACCUCAGAGGUGACCGACGUCCAUCUUGAGACCUCAGAACUGCCCAGUGUCCACCUGGAGACCACCGAGGUGACCAAUGUCCACCUGGAGCCCAUGGAGGAGGUGCCCAGUGCCCACCUGGAGACCUCCGAGGUGCCCUCAGACCACCUGGAUGCCUUGGCCAUGAGCGGUGUCCACCUGGAGGUGCCCGGAGCCCACCUGGAACCCACCGAGGUGCACCUGGAACCCCCCUAGGAGGUGCCCGGUGCCCACCUGGAGACCCCAGAGCUGCCCAGUGCCCACCUGGGCAUGGCACAGGUGCCCGGUGCCCACCUGGACACACCUUGGAGAUGACCCAUGCCCACCUGGGCACACCUUGGAGGUGCCCGGUGCCCACCUGGAGACCUCAGAGGUGCCCAGAUCUCACCUGGAGGUGCCCAGUGCUCACCUGGGCACACCUUGGAGAUGACCCAUGUCCACCUGGGCACGUCACAGGUGCCCGGUGCCCACCUGGAGACCCC
rnacentral:lncRNA from 1 species